rnacentral:rRNA from 1 species
AUUGAACGCUGGCGGCAUGCUUUACACAUGCAAGCCGAACGGUAACAGGGUGCUUGCACCGCUGACGAGUGGCGAACGGGUGAGUAAUGCGUCGGAACGUGCCGAGUAGUGGGGGAUAACGCAGCGAAAGUUGUGCUAAUACCGCAUACGUACUGAGGUAGAAAGUGGGGGACCUUCGGGCCUCACGCUAUUCGAGCGGCCGACGUCUGAUUAGCUAGUAGGUGAGGUAAGAGCUCACCUAGGCGACGAUCAGUAGCGGGUCUGAGAGGAUGAGCCGGCACACUGGGACUGAGACACGGACCAGACUCCUACGGGAGGCAGCAGUGGGGAAUGUUGGACAAUGGGCGCGAGCCUGAUCCAGCAAUGCCGCGUGCAGGAAGAAGGCCUUGGGGUUGUAAACUGCUUUUGUACGGAACGAAACGGUCCUGGUUAAUACCUGGGGCUAAUGACGGUACCGUAAGAAUAAGCACCGGCUAACUACGUGCCAGCCGCCGCCGUAACAC